AAGUGGUCUACCUUAGGGGUUAGAAAUGAAAUGAAAUGAAGGAAACAAAGUUAUAAUAAUGUUGUGAUAAUGAUGAUUGUAUUUGGAAGAAAAUGUAAUAUGUAUAACCUUGGAUGAAUGCUUGUAAUAUCUUAGUCGUUUAUGUCUUUGAUACUUCCUUAUGCAAUUUGUAUGUUGAAUUUUGUUCCUGGUUGGAACAUCGUGAAUUGUAUGGAUUGUGACGCCUAGGACGUAUAUGGGAGACUAUGUCCGCGGUACAGGAGAAACACUGUCCGUUCGGCGGUCUGUCGGUGUUCCUGAAUCCGACCAAAUAGGCGGGUCUCGGGGCGUGACAGAUAAAGUGGUAUCAGAGCAUAAAGUAGAGAAUGAGGAUGGUUUAGAUGGACCUAGGAGACCCUAGGAUAGUAAACUAUAGAGAAUAAGGCUUGUGAGAGAUGAGGACUUGUGACUAAUGGCGAAAGGUUAAUCGAUUGGGUCAAGUGUUGAAAUCUCUAAAACGAAUGUUAAAGGUAUACUCAAGGUGUGGGUUAUUCUCGACCAAGUGUGUUUAUGUUGGGCGAUCGACAACAUGAAACCGAGGGAUGAAAAUAGACGCUCUUGUGUGACUUUCGCCUGAUUUGAGUUGAGUCAGUGUUAGUUGGUACGUGCUCGACCUAAAGGGUCGAGACUCACCGUGUUGUCGCCGUUCAGGAAAAGAUGGCACCGCGUAGGCGAUCUUCAUCUAGAUCGGCGUGGGAUGGGAUGAGCGGUGUCCCUGAGCAAUUCGAGGCGAGCGGAGAAUUGAAACUUCGCUAUCAGUUGGCCACUCGUGGGAGUGGCGAGGCAACGAGCCGAAUUGGUGCAACGACAGCAGAAGGCUGUCAUGCGCCAGGAGGAGCGGGUUAAGGGACUCCAAGAAACGGUUGAUCGAUUGGUGACCGUACCAGUUUAGGCUUGUCGAGUACGGUCGGGAGUCGUGGCGGAGGUAUUUCUGUCGUGGUCGGGCAAUCCGACUUUUAGAACUUCAGAGGUGGAGGCGGCGAGGGAGUGAGUUUAGACGGCCCUCAUGACCUUCAAGUGAUUUGAUCCGCUUGCCCUUGGUAGAGAGAAUGCGGAUCCGUGGAUCGUGGAGUUGUGGAUCGACUCCAUGGAGACCCUCUUUGAGGAAGUGGAACCUCGAUGUGUGGAAAUGAACUUCGAUCAAAUUGAUCGAAGGUUCGUUUAGAACGCUUUGGAAAAGUCGAAUGCGUCAAAAAUGGCUUCUAAGGGUUGUAAAGGACCUUGGAGAGCAUGUUGAGUGAAUUCUGCAAUUUUUGCAGAAAUGAUGCUCUCGAGGUCCGAACCUUGUGCAGGGUCCGGACCCCGUAGCCGAAAAUGGCCCAGUUCAGGCAGUGCACAUUCUUAAGUUGCAGUCGCAAUCCCGAACCCCGAAAGUGUCUUCUAUUCAACUUUUUCGGGAUGUGGGAUUGUAUAAGUUCUCACUAGGCGCGGCAGUAUGCGCUGCGUGAUGAGAGGUACAUUUGUUGUGGGCAGCCGGGCUGUGUGCUGGAUGAGUGCUCGUUGAGGGGUGGCCAGACAUUGGCGUUGGCGGCGACCUUUUUCUCUCCGAGAUAGCCUGUGGGUGUGCCACCUAUAGCAUGGUCUGGAGAGCGAGCGAUGAGGAUAUGGCGACCGGAGGGUCUGUGACGUGCGCCGAGAGGCCAUGAGGACGCAACCCAGGUCGAGGAAUCUUGCAUGCAUUUAUCAUAUGGUCAUUUACUACUAUCGAUGCAUCAGAGUAGUAGGGACCAAGUGGACGGGUAAGUGUAGAUACCCGGGCGUGCUCAUGUGGUGAGAGUGUAGCGCCUGCUGGAGCAGGUAGAGAGCCAGAUAGCACUAGCAGAUUGCUAGUAGUUAUUCCUGGACGAGAAAUGAGACUCGUGGUAGAGAUGAAAUUGGUGAAGCUACUCUCAAGGCAAUAGAUAGUAGAUUGCGAGAGUUGAGCCAUGACAUUUGAGGAUACCCGAGUAGUUCGAGUGUUUCGAAUGUCGUUCCGAUAGAUCGAACAGUGAAAGUAGAAUCACUGUUGAGAGAACGGUUGGUUAGUGGCCAAGUACAAGCACGUGGGCUUAAUAGUACCUCGAAUUGAGGUAGGUGAGUCGUGCUUCUGUGGCCGGUAUGCUUAGGCAGGGAUGCCUAAUGCUGGACUUAGUAUAGAAAGCGUGUGACGUUCGAGUGUAGAUACUCGUAGAGUGUGAAUGUGGAUUCAGUCGAGAGAGUGAGUUGGCAGUAGCACUUCAGCGUUGCUAAGUGUGAAGCGGGCCAUGGAUCACUCGUAGGGCUGGUGGCUCGCACUAGGUGCUUAGGAGCCGGUAGCGGCAUAUAUAGCUCGGUAGAGCAUGUCGUGUAGGACAACGACGACGGGUAUUGCUCUGGGACGACCCGUGCCUGGACCAUUUGUGGACUGUGGAGCCUGGGCCUUUGGGCAGGCGCAGUCAGCUGUGUAGAACAGCAGCCCGGUACCUACGCGUAGGGUAGAGUUUUGGUCAGGACGGUAGUUUGAGCUUAGACCCAGGAGCAUGGAAUGCCAUGUGUUGGAUCAUGUGAUCGAUGAUACACCGAGUGUGUAGUGAUCCAACCUGAGGAUUUGACGUGGUUUGGGAUCAUGGUUGCUCUUGGUUGGAGUGUGUGCGAAUUUUCAAGUGAGAAUUUCGCCCGGUGAUGAUUGGGUCUACGCCAGUGAGCGAGAGACGCUAUGCGUAGUUGAGACGGAUUUUGGCGGUAGGCCUACGUAGGAUUGGUGACCUUUGGUCUACCUGUGGAAGCCGAGGUAAUCGGUUUGGCCAGUAACUCUGUCGACGAGUUUGGGCUUGGAUUCACGAACGGAGUGUUCGUGUGAGUUCGUUGUAGGAACGAAUUCGAGUUGGUCGUGGCAAUCGAAAGAGAAAUUAAAGUGGUCUCUACGAGACACUUGAGUAAUGAAUAGCCACGCGGGUUUGAGGAUAAUGCUCUUUUGAGAGUUAAAACUUGAGAUGUGCCGCGGUGUGCCAUCUCGUAGUAGAGCAAAGAUCCGGAUAUGGUUGAAGCACUCGCAAUUGGUCGAGUCACCCCUGAUAUUGCUUCUAGGCAAUGCUGGUGAUCGAAUAGGAGUGUGAUCCCUAGAGGGAUAGUGAAUGUAACGAAGAGUUAUAAAUGAGUAAUACAGACUCUUGGAUAGCCAAAGUGGUAGAGCGCCACUUUGUGAACACUUGAAUGAUCCGAGAAGGCCUACCCGUGUGCAUUGUGUAGCGGUGGUGGAUCGUUCAGCUAGUUGAUGCAUUUUGGUAGAUCCACACCACGAGGAUGAGGGGUAGUCAUGAUCUCGAAGAUAGUGGCAUUGGUGUGCCGGAUUGCGAGUGGUGUUGGAGCUUGAGGAGUCGUCAAGUAUCGACUUGCGCUGCUACCGAGACUUGCGGACACCGUAAUACACUUUUGGCGUUGCACUUUGCGGAUGUGUGUGAGGAUGAUCUUACAUCCUCCGUAGUGGGCCUUUGGACAGUUCCGAUAGGUGAAAGGUCACUCCGGAGUGGGAAAGUGCGUUGGUACCCUCAGUUGCUCGAUAACUUGAAUUGAGAUGAGAUUUGAGUUUCAAAGGCAAAACUCUUUUUAAGGAGGGGAGGGUGUAGCAUACCGAACUUCUAUAAUUUUGAAGUUACGGUGUAUGUUGGUUUGGAAAGCCAUUAGAGUGGUUCCGGUGAAGUUCAGGAGUAUUCGGGUGUUUUCGGUACGCGUCGGGUGCAAAAACGGAACCCGAAAAGCUAUGGAUGGACUAUGGACAAAAUUCGGCAUAAGCUGGAUGAAAAGAUGAUGUAAGUAUGUUCGAAAACAUGUUUUGGGGGUCUCGGAACGAUUUGAGAUGAAUCGGAGGCCUAACGAGCGAAAACGAGUGAAAACAGAGAAGAAACAGACUAAAGCUGAAAAUUUCAAAAAAUUGGCUAAGUCCUAAACUGCUGGGCUGUCUGGACCUACGGGGUCCGGACCCUAGCUUGAGGGACCGGACCCCGUAGCCCGAAUUUGCCCAGUGUGAACUGUGCACUAUUGGGCAUUGUUGAUGGUGUUUUAUGCAAUUUUGGCAUUUGAGGAUUCUAUGAGAUGGGCAUCUCUCAUUUCUCUCUCACUUUCCCUCACCACCCAACUCUAAAGACCUCUCUCUCUCUCUCUCUCUAGGAGCUCUCCCUCUCUCUCUAGAAGAGGAACAAGAUAAGGAGAAGUGGAGAUUGGAGCUUGGGGGAAGGACACCAUCAUCAUCUUCUUCCUUUGCUUGGAGGGAGCAAGCUUGAGAGGUAAGCUUUUAGGGCUUUAAUGGUAGAUCUCUAGGGCUUGAAUCAUUUGCUCUAGAAAUGGUUUUAGUGGAAUCCUAAGAUGCUAAUGAGAUGAUUAUUGCUUAAAUCUUGGGUGGAUUUGGGGUAUUUUGCAAUACUUGCAUCUUAGGGCUUCCAAAGGGGGUUUUUGUAAAUGUAUGAGUUUGAUCUAAAUUGGACUUAUGUAAACCUAAUUGCUAGGUAUACGAACACGCUGGUGAAGUCGGUUCGGCGAUCCGUCGAGCCUGCACGAAGAUAUUGGCAAAAAGGACCAUUUUGGCUUCUUUUCGGUCUGGAAGGCCGACGCGGCGUUCAAAAAUUAUAAAAACGGAUUCCUAGCAUCGCGGCAUCUAGAUAAAGGCCUUGCAGACUCUAGGUCGCGGAUUGGCGUGCGUUCGGUGGUUGAUCGCGAGUUCGAGCUGAACCGGGCGGCGUGUGCCACGGGAGGCCGAUUGCAAGUGACUACAAGCAAUCGGAAAGCGAUUUGAGGUGGGUUGUGCUCACCGAAAUGUUUAGCUCGCUUCCAUGUCGAAGCGAUGUGAGAUUACUAUUGAUGCAUAUAAUGGUAGCUAGUUGUAAAACUUAGGAAUGCAUGGGGUAAAUGCUAUGUUAGGCUACCAAAGUAUGCCUGUUGACAUAAUGUAAAAUGCUAGAAGAAUGUAUAUUGACAUACUGUGAGAAUACUAAAAGAAUGCAUGUUGGCAUAUUAUAGAAAUGCUAGAUGAAUGCAUGAGUUAAAUGCUAUAUGAAUGCAUGAUUCAUAUUAUACUAGAUGAUGUUGCCUACUAUUGGAAUCUACUAGAUGAGAUGCUAAAUGGAAAUAUAUGCAUGUUGAUAUAUCAUGAGAUGCUAGUUGAUACAUAUAUGCAUGUUGGUACAUUGUGGAUUAUGUUAAAUGACAUAUGCAUGUUGAACUUGAGGUUUAUGUAGCGACAUAACGAGUGGCAUGUAAACAAUGUUGAUAACACGACGAGUGGCAUGAGACCUAGUGUAGAUGAAACACUUAACAUAGAUCAGGAUAUGUGACAUGAAAUACAAGUGUAGUGGUAACACUAAGAUAUGAAUAUAUGGAUAGAUGAGUUCCCGAGUCGAUUGAUAUGUUCCAUAAGAACUUAGUGUGGUAGAGACACUUGUGACACGAUGACUAUAAGGAUAGGUGGAUUUCCCGAGUCGUUGUCAUACCUAGUUGACAGGGUAUUCUCAGUUGGCGAGGAUUGGAUCAUACUCAUAUAGUCUGUUUGAAUUUGGGGUGGUCGCUCCACCCAACAGUGCACUCUAGAGGUGGUCACGCUAGGGACAGACGUAGUUGUCCGCAGACAGUCCUGGGUAAGGUAAAAGCUGGGUAGCUGCUCACCUAGGGAUUUGAGAUGUGAGUUGGGGCGUAACCUUCGGGUUAGCUAGUGAGAUUGGGUGACAAGUAUAUGAGCUGUAGUUGAAUCCCAGUAGAGUUGAUUGGGUAUCUCAGUUGAGUGGAUUUAAGGCCGGGGUGCAAGUGAGAUGUCCUUCGCCUCGAGCCUGGCUUUGCGCGGUAUUCCGCGGAUGAUUGACUCAAGAUCGAGUCGGGUGGAUAGCUUGAUAAAGAUAGAUGAAACCUUAUGAGCAGAUUGUAAAUGACAUGAAUCUAAGAUGGAGGAAAACUUAGAUGACAAUUGAAUGAGCUAUGAAUAGCAGGAUCGAAAGUAGAAUCAAUUGAUCUACUAGUUGGUUGUAUAGUUGCAUAAAUUGCAUGAUUUGCGUUGUUGUAUAUUCUGAGACAUGAACAUGAUAAAUAUUAGUUGCAUAAAUUAUAUGAUGAUAUAUAUAUAUCUGUGGAUAUUUGUUGGACUAACAUGUUUGCAGUGCCUCAUUCGGAUCUGGUGGGUCGAGCUUUUUCCUUGGAUAGCCGUACCUAUUGAAAACUAUGCACAAUAGUUCUCACCGCAGUGUUGUUUUUCGAGGUACAGGUUCGCACACGAGCGGCACGGCGGCGCGAAGAUAGGGCCAGCUUCGUAGAUAGCGCCCUACCCCGAGACCAGAGAUAGCGGUACCCCGAAGUGGUCUAGCUUAGGGGUUAGAAAUGAAAUGAAAUGAAGGAAACAAACUGUUAGGAAGCCAAAUUUUUCGACCCUAGACCCAGUCAAAGAUCCUCCUCGGGGUAUGCGUCGGGGUGAGGAACGGCUGCAGAUAGUGACCCUCGAAGUUUGCGCCCUUCGACAGAUCAAGCGAUUCGGCUGGCGAGGGAUCGGAUCAGCCGGGUUCGAAAACCUUUACUGUAGAAUUGAUUCGGCUGGAAGAGCCGAAUGUACGAACUGUGCAGGGAUCAAUGUCGGCAGAAGUGCCGAAUGGAAGAAGUACACAGUAACUGGUCGGUCUGAAUAGCCGAACGUGACUUUCUAUUGAAUAGAAAAUGGAAAAGUACAAGAGCAAGGGAGUGAUGCUCGUGAGGCAGACAGACUCCAAGUAUAUUUUACAAGGGAGUGAUGCCCAUGGGGCAGACAGACUCCAAAGAUCUAAGUUACAGGAACCACUCCUAGGAAAAGCAGUAAAUGCGAGAAAGAAAGAUGCAGGAAAAUACGGGUGGUCUUUUGUGCGCAGGGGCAAAGACCCCUAUUGCAAGCUUCAAAGUUACUAUUUAUAGACCACAUUAUUAGUUGGUUGAAAGUAGUUGGGGGGAGUGGUUGUAACCAUGAUCGUGGAAGUUAUACUAACUCCUUAUGGAAGUUAUGCUAACUCCUCAUGGAAGUUACGCCCCAAUAUUCAACCGUUCCCACCUUCUUGUCCUUCAGGCACCUUAUUGCCGACUCCUGGUGUACCACGUGUCCUUAUUGGCUCAUACGUGGGUUAGGUCGGCUCAAUUUUGGUAUCAACACAAACUUAUAACAAUGUUGUAGUAAUGAUGAUUGUAUUUGGAAGAAAAUGUAAUAUGUAUAACCUGGGAUGAAUGCUUGUAAUAGCUUAGUCGUUUAUGUCUUUGAUACUUCUUUAUGCAAUCUGUAUAUUGAAUUCUGUUUCUGGUUGGAACAUCGUGAAUUUUAUGGAUUGUGACGCCUAGGACGAUCAGGGGAGACUCUAUCCGCGAUAUAGGA
rnacentral:lncRNA from 1 species